AUAUGGACCUACAGGCAGAGGAGAUAGUGGAGGUGCAGGACCCCAUUGUGAACAUCCUCUCUGCGGAUGCCCCAUCCAGAGUGGCGUUGCCCCUGAUCCGCACGAUCCAGGCUAACGCCACUACGAUAUGGCAAACUCCUGCCUCUAUUCCACCCACAGCCAGAGGGGUGGAAAGAAAGUACUUUGUCCACUCAAAGGACUAUGAGUACUUGUAUACUCAUCCCCAGCCGUGUUCACUGGUGGUGUCAUCAGUGAAUGCAAGGGAGCGCCACGGUCAACAGGCUGCAGCGCCCAAAUUGAAGGACGCUAAGCGCUUCGAUUUGUUUGGGCGUAAGGUUUAUUCAGCCGGGGGGCUACAACUUAGAGCGGCUAACCAACAGGCGCUCCUGAGCCGCUAUAACUUUAAUUCCUGGAACUCUAUGGGGAAGUUCAAGGAAUUGGUCCCCCAAGACUCCAGGGAAGAGUUUGGGGCCUUGGUGGAGGAGGGUAAGAAGGUGGCACGGACCUCCUUACAGGCCUCCUUGGACAUAGCAGACUCGGCUGCGAGAACCCUGGCUUCAGGUAUCGCCAUGCGGAGAAUCUCCUGGCUCCAGGUCUCGGGCCUGCCUCCUGAACUGCAGCAAACCCUGCAGGAUUUACCUUUUGAGGGACACGGAUUGUUCUCGGAUAAGACGGACUCUCGUCUGCAGAGCCUCAAGGACUCGAGAACAAUCAUGCGCUCCCUGGGGAUGCAUGUUCCGGGUCCCCAGCGCAGGCCAUUUCGGCCCCAGCCUCAGCGGUUCUAUCCCCCCCCCACCUCGUCCGAGACAGGACUCUGCCAGAAGGCGGGGGCGAGGUGGUAGGAGAAGGUUGACCGGCCCUCAACCCGGUCAGAACCAGGGGCCACCUAGACCACCUUCAGGCCCCAGGCAGAACUUUUGAAGGUGCGGUCGAGGACGGCGCCCCAGUCAUCCCCCAGGAUCCAACCCCCUCCUUUCGGGAUUGCCUCUCCCAUUUCCACCGUGCUUGGUCCCUUAUAACCUCGGACCGUUGGGUCCUUCGCACAGUGGAGAGGGGAUACGCUCUCCAGUUUUCUUCAUC
rnacentral:lncRNA from 1 species